ACCAGCUCAGUUGGUUAAAGUGUGGUGCUGAUAACUCCAAGAUUGCAGGUUUGAUCCUUGUAUGGGGCA
rnacentral:tRNA from 1 species